AAUUGAGAACCAUUGGGCUUGCCAACUGUUUCGAAACAACUGUGCAUCAGAAACCUCCUCAGAGCUGCUGACCUCAGUUCUCUAGUCUUGAGUACGCUGAGAAGACCUUGACUGAAUCCUUGUCUUUGAGGUAGCGGUUUGGCAAAACCCAGAACACUACAGUGAAAAUGCCUUUCCUUCAGAAUUUUGAUGUACUGUUCCAUUGUCUUCUAGCAUCCAACGUUGAUCAUGAGAAGUCAAAAGGUCACUGAUCCAGUUACACUGGCUAGCCCAGGAAGAUUUUUUGUGGAGGAGGCAAGAGGGAAACGAAGUAAAGCAAAGCCGAUUCUUCUGGGACAAGGUAAAGGUUUGACUCUUCUUGUUUACACAAGAAAGCCUCCAAGGAAACCGUCCAAACUUCAGCUUCAGCUUGGAAGGUAGGCUCGGUCUCCCACUGAAGGUGAUGCUAGGGUUGUUAAGACAGAUCAGCAGAAACCACCAAACCUAACAACGUGAGUUCAAUUCCCAGACCCCACUUGGUGGUUAGUGGAUGAAGAGAAACAACCCUUGCAGGCUGUCCUCUGACCUCCACAUACAUGCUACGGUUUCUGUGUGUGCAGAGACAGAGAAGGAGAAAGAAAGGCAAAGACAGAGAAAAGGGAGGAGGAAUAAAUAAAUAAAUAUU
rnacentral:lncRNA from 1 species